UACGUAGGGUGCAAGCGUUAAUCGGAAUUACUGGGCGUAAAGCGUGCGCAGGCGGUUAUGUAAGACAGAUGUGAAAUCCCCGGGCUCAACCUGGGAACUGCAUUUGUGACUGCAUAGCUAGAGUACGGUAGAGGGGGAUGGAAUUCCGCGUGUAGCAGUGAAAUGCGUAGAUAUGCGGAGGAACACCGAUGGCGAAGGCAGUCCCCUGGACCUGUACUGACGCUCAUGCACGAAAGCGUGGGGAGCAAACAGG
rnacentral:rRNA from 1 species